AGUGGAGCAAUCCAUGAGUAAAGUGGCGACCGGGUGAGUAACACGUGACUAACCUACCUUCGAGUGGGGGAUAACAUCGGGAAACCGAUGCUAAUACCGCAUAACAUCGCAAGAUCAAAGCAGCAAUGCGCUUGAAGAGGGGGUCGCGGCUGAUUAGCUAGUUGGCGGGGUAACGGCCCACCAAGGCGAAGAUCGGUAGCCGGCCUGAGAGGGCGCACGGCCACACUGGAACUGAAACACGGUCCAGACUCCUACGGGAGGCAGCAGUGGGGAAUCUUGCACAAUGGGGGAAACCCUGAUGCAGCGACGCCGCGUGAGCGAUGAAGCCCCUCGGGGUGUAAAGCUCUUUCGGCAGGGAAGAUUAUGACGGUACCUGCAAAAGCAGCUGCGGCUAACUACGUGCCAGCAGCCGCGGUAAUACGUAGGCAGCAAGCGUUGUUCGGAGUUACUGGGCGUAAAGGGUGCGUAGGCGGCUUUUUAAGUUUGGUGUGAAAUCUCCCGGCUCAACUGGGAGGGUGCGCCGAAUACUGAGAGGCUAGAGUGUGGGAGAGGAAAGUGGAAUUCCUGGUGUAGCGGUGAAAUGCGUAGAUAUCAGGAGGAACACCGGUGGUGUAAACGGCUUUCUGGACCAUAACUGACGCUGAAGCACGAAAGCGUGGGUAGCAAACAGGAUUAGAUACCCUGGUAGUCCUAGCCCUAAACGAUGAUUGCUUG
rnacentral:rRNA from 1 species